UACAGAGGUCCCGAGCGUUGUUCGGAUUCACUGGGCGUAAAGGGUGCGCAGGUGGGUUGGCAAGUUCGAUGUGAAAGCCCCGGGCUUAACCCGGGAAUGGCAUUGGAAACUGCUGAUCUGGAGGAUCGGAGGGGGGACUGGAAUUCUUGGUGUAGCAGUGAAAUGCGUAGAUACCAAGAGGAACACCAGUGGCGAAGGCGAGUCCCUGGACGAUACCUGACACUGAGGCACGAAAGCCAAGGGAGCAAACAGG
rnacentral:rRNA from 1 species